AAUCUGCGGAAUGUCAAGGGUGUCAUAAGAAUCAAGGCAAAAUUCUAAAACUUGGAAUAUUGAUCUCUCCUUCUAUUUUCACCAUCUCCAUAUUUGCAUCUUUAUAAUCAGGUUCACUUCAGUGCUCAGUACACGAAGGUUCUCUUCUCAAGUAUCUGUUCGAUGCCCUUACUCCGUCGACAAUUCAUUCUCUUGCUUUGUCAGCAAUUAGUGGUGGUCCCUUGCUCCACCGGCCAUCAUCGACGCUCUCUUGAUCCAUUGGCCAUUUUCAUCUUCAUUAUCGAUUGUGAUUGGCGUGAAACUGGGUUAAUUGAAAAUAUUGCCGAAGAGCUGAUGUCAAAAUUACGUACCAAACUUCCAUUUGAUUCUGAUAUGUUAGUUGGAAUUGAAUAAAAGUUGGCAGAAUUGGACUCUGUUGUAGCAAAUGAAUGGGAUGAAACUCAAUUUAUAGGAAUAUGGGGCACAGGAGGUUUAGGUAAGACUACUCUUGCUAGAUUUUUUUUUUUUUGGAGCAAAGGCACACAGACUUUGAAGUUCAUUGCUUUCUUCAUAAUAUCAGAGAGGUAGGCAAAAAAGAUGGUUUGUCUUUCUUGCAAGGAAUAUUUCUAUCUUGCUUGAAUAAAAGAAUGGAAGUGGGCGACUGUUUUGAAGGAAGGAAGUUGAUAAGAACAUGUUUUGCAAUAGAAAAAUUCUACUUGUCCUUGACGAUGUGAGUGAUGUAAACCAACUUGACAACUUGGCUGGAAAGAAAGGAUGGUUUGGGCAUGGGAGUAAAAUAAUAAUUACUACUAGAGAUAAGCAUUUAUUAUAAUUAUUGCAUGGGGUAUCUAUUCUGUUUAAGAUCAAUUUCUUAACUUAUGUUGAAUCCCUUCAACUUUUUUGUCAAAAAGAUUUUAAAGCAGAUUAUCCAAACAAAUAUUACUUUGAGCUAUCUAGAGCCGUGAUUAAAUAUGCCGGAGGCCCCCCUAAGGCACUUAAAGUCUAAGGAUCAUUUCUUUGUGGAAGAACUAUUCACAAUGGAAGGACGCACUAGCUAAGUUCAAGAAGAUUCCUCCAAAUGACAUUUUGAAGAUACUUAAAGUGAGCUUUGAUGGAUUAGAAGACGAUGAGAAAACUAUAUUCUUAGAUAUUGCUUGCUUUUUCAAUGGGAUGGCAAAAGAUUAUGUCAUACAGAUUUUACAAAAUUGUGACCCUUACCCAAUAAUUGGAAUAAAAGCUCUCUUUGACAAGUCAUUGUUAAUUGAUGAUGGAAGAUUUUUGAGGAUGCAUCAAAUGCUUCAAGAAAUGGGUAAGAAUAUUGUUGUUCAAGAAUCACCCAAUGAUGCUGGCCAACGUAGUAGGAUAUUGUGUUUAGAGGAUGCUAAUCAUGUACUGGAAAGAAAUAACGUAAUGCUCAUUUCUUUUCUUCUAUUGUCUUUUACGGUGAUUGUGCACUCUUUACUUAGUAAUUCUUACCAUGACUUCCAUACUAUUAUUUGCUUGGCUUGUUGUUUUAUAGGGGACAAAAGCAAUUCGAGGUAUAGCUUUAGCACUGGAGAAAUAAUCAGAUGCAAUUUGGAAUCCUGAAGCCUUUUUAAAGUUGAGUGAUCUCAAUUUACUUAUCAUAUCAAGUCUUUCACAAUUUUCCCAUUGCCAAUUGAAUCUUCCUCGUGGACUGAAAUUCAUUUUAAGCUCGUUAAAAGUGCUAGAUGGCAAGGUUAUCCUUUAGAUGUUCUACCAAGUAAGAUUGAGUUGAAUGAACCUGUUGAUCUUAAAAUGCAAUAUAGCAGGUUAACACAACUUUGAAGAGGAACACAGGUUCUAUGAAGGCUUCAAUCCAUUGACUUGAGUCACUCAAAAUGCCUCAUCAAAACACCAAAUUUUGAUGGAAUUCCUCAUCUCCAAAAAUUGAUUCUUGAAGGGUGUACAAACCUUGUUCAAGUUCACCCCUCUCUUGGAAAACACAAGAAUAUUAUCAUUGUUAGUUUGAAAUAUUGCAAGAGUAUUAAAACACUUCCAAGCCAACUUGAGAUAAACUAGUUAGAGAUUUUUGUGUUGUCGGGUUGUUUGAAAGUUACACAGCUUCCUAAGUUUGCAAAAGGUAUGGAUCGCCUAUCGGUGCUUGAUUUAAAAGGGACUGCUAUAGCCAAGCUACCCAAUUCAUUGGCCAAUUUGAUUGGCCUUACUAUAUUAAAUUUGAAGAAUUGCAAAGACCUAGUUUGCCUUCCAAAUAACAUUCAUAAAUUGAAAGCUACAAAAAAUUAUCAAUAUCUCUGGUUGCUUAAAGAUUUCAAGGCUAACAGAGAAUUUGAAAGAAAAUAAGGAUUUGGAAGAGCUUGAUGUGGUGGAACUGCAAUAAAUGAAAUUCCUUCGUCAUUGAAUAAGUUAAAAGUGUUAUCAUUUGGUGUGUGCAAUAAUGGUCUAGCACAAUCUUCAUCACAGAAUCGCUUUAUCAAGUGGGCAUUUAGACUUCAAAGAUCUUCAAGUUCAACAAUUUUUAUGUUUUCCCCUACCCUAUCAAGUCUAAGGUCUUUGGGAAAAUUAAAAUUACCUUAUUGCAAUCCCCAUGACAGAUCACUUCCUCAUGACAUUGGCAAGUUAACAUCAUUGACAUAUUUAGAUCUAAGUGGAAACAAUUUUGUUGACGUGCCUUCUGGCCUCAUUUCCAAUAUUUUUAAGAUUGAAUGCAUCCUUUUCAUUGAUUGCCCCAAGCUUCAAUCUUUGCCACAACUUCCAUCAAACGUAUCAACUAUAGUCACAAGUAAUUCCCAUCCAUGAAACACUAUGCACAUUCACAGCAACUGUGGGAAUUGAUUGAAUCAUUACAAUCUCAGUUUUAUUUUAUUUGUUUUGACGUCAUUAUAUAUAUAUAUAUAUACCCCUUCCCACAUUUGUUGUUGUACUCCUCUAACUUGGCAAAUUUUUUCUUGUAGGCUCUCAAACUCAGUGAAGUCUCAUUUCAACUUCAAGAGCUUAAAAUUGCAUUUUUAUGUCGUGUGUCAGCUCUUACAACUUCAACUCCACAAAUUGUUACUUCGGAUGAACAAAUUAGAAGAUGCUGAGAGGGACAUGGCAAGAGAAAUAAGGGAUGAAGGACGUAGCAGCAGCAACAAUGACAUUUACAUUGAUCCAGACAGAUAAUAAAAUAGCAAAAUAGGGAUUAUGUGAAAGAGGUGCACAAGGCCCGAUGAACAUUAUUACAAUAUAUAGAUGUAGGGUACCCUAGAAUACAAGAAUAAGAAUCAUGUUUCUCUAAUGAAUAAAGAAUAAACAAUACUGAAUUAGAAAUAAAAAACAAUAAAAAUACUGCAGUGUUCAUGAUGGGCUUGGUCUGGGUAGAUAUUGGGCUCUAUGCUAAUUGGGCUUCUUUAAUUUCUUCACACUCCCCUUCAAACGGGAGGCAGAAUAUUUGGACAGCCUGGAUUUGUCUCUUAAACUGAGAAAAUGUGUGUGGGUCAUCUCCUUGGUGAAGAUAUUGGGAACAUUCUCCGAUAAAGGGUUAGAAGCUAGGGCCAUGGCACUCAUAUUGUCAUACUAUGCAAUCGGAAUCUGUUGAAGCUUCAAUCCAAUCUCAAAGAACAAAUACCGUAGCUGUGCAAGUUCCGUUGCUAAAUCAACUAGAGAUUGAUACUACAAUUUAGUGCUUGAUCAUGCAACAACUCUCUAUUUUUUUGCUCGAUCACACGAUUAAGGAUUCUCCAAAGAAGGCACAGUAACCUUUAAAGGACUUCUAAUCAUGAAUGCAUGUAGCCCAAUCAGCAUCUGAAAAACCUUGCAAACAAAGGUACUGAGCUGGAAUCUACAGCAUAACUAUUGAGAUUGGAAUCAAGUUGAGAGGAAGAACCAUUCUGUGCUUCAGUUCAGAGAUGACAAUGGAAGCACCUCUAGCAAAACAAGGAGAACAAGGAGAUGGCAAAGAACCCAUAAAGCUCUUGAAAAGUUCUUGUGGAUGUACUUCAAACUCAAGUACUUUUUUCUUAUUCAAGAACCCUUUUGCAAAAGGAAAAAAACUGCUCAUUAAAUUCUACAUUUCUUGAUGUACCCAAUAAAUACACACUUAAUGGUUCUAAAUUGAAGUUUAUGUUGAUUGUAAGCCCUUAGACAA